rnacentral:lncRNA from 1 species
AACUUAAGUACAUGCCAUAUAACGAACAAAAAGAGACUAUACAAACAUUGUUGAGUUAAAGAUCGCUUCUUGGAUGCUGAAAUCACUUCUUGAGACCUUCACAUGUACCUAAACCUGUGCAUGGGAAAACAAACCGUAUUUUAAGCAAUAAUGCUCAGUGGUAUUUUCAUGAUUCAAGUUAAUAUAAUACGAAUUCAAUCAAUUGCAUACACUCAAUCUAUAAUUCUAAUAUCAAUCCAUUCAUAUACAAUUCAUGCUAAUCCUCAUUUACAUAUAAACAUAUAUAUGUCAUAAAGUGUACCACCUAUGUCAAAUGGAUCAAUUAUACAUUGUCUUAAUUAAGAACUAUAUAAAGAUAUCAUACCAAUGUCAUUAGUGUUUAUAUUUCCUUUCAAUAUAACACAUUCAAUCAUAUUCGUUUUUCAUUACUGAACCAAAUCAAUUCAUUCGCUAACUUUCCAAAUCAGCCCUCAGACUCGUUUAACCGGUUUGCAUGAUCUUUCACAUACUGCUGAUAAUCAUAUAUCGUAUAUAUGUACCUGUAGUACAAUUUCAUAACAUUGAAUCAUUUCGAGUAUCAUUUAACCAAUUUAAAAUUUAUAUUCCCUAUUAACAUGACUCGAACUCGAACUCGAACUCGAACGGAUAUACGGAUCCCAACCAAUACACCAAUUUGGUAACCAGUGCCUCAUCGGAACGUCCGAAGUAAAUAGAUUAUGCCUAUCACUCAUAGAAAAGUCCGUAGGAAAAUGUGUCCAACCCUCAUCGACAUAUAGUAGAAGUAACCCAUACUCAAUCUAUUCCAUGGCAUGCCAACUAUAUCCAACUCUGCUCGAACAGUUAAUGGGGUAACAAAUUUUCCAAUUUCAUUAUAUAAUUCCAUUCACAUUCUCUCAUUCUCAAUUCAUCAUCAAUUUCAUUAUUUCAACAUUUAAUAUAACAUAUUUCAGCCAAAUUCUAUAUCAAAUAACAUGUAUCAAUUAAUUCAUGCAAAAUUUUAUUUUAUUCAAUUUAGUCCUCUAUCUCGAUAUUUAAUCUUAAACAUGGCAAUUCCCUUUAAAUAAUCAUUAUCAACUCAUCUCAAUAUCAUAUUAUGCAAAAUUCACAAUAUGCAACAAUUAAAUUUAUCCCAAAUCACAGAAAUACCAACUAAAAGCUCGUGUCACUUGUCGUCGGCUCUCACCUUUCCUUUCCCUCUCAACGGAUUAGCGUCAUCUUUAGCUAUGAAUAAUAAUUCAACAAUAACACAAUAUCAAAUUUCAUAUCAAAUCACAUUCAAAUACAAAACCAAACAUAUUUUUUAAUUUAUUCAAUUUAGUCCCUAAAAUUGGGACAAAUAAAAAUCUGAUUUCAGAUAUACUCAUUAGGCUCAUUAGGGACCCUAUAAUUUCCAUCCCUACAAAAUUUUUAUAGUAAAUUUAUAUUUUAUUCAAUUUGGUCCCUGAUGUAGGAAACUAACAAUUAAUCUUUACAAUUAGUCCUUUCCAUAAUCUAAACUUAAUUUCUAUCAAAUUCAUGGCAAUAUAAUAUAUUUCUCAAUAAUGAAAAUUUUCAAAAACUUUAAUAGUUUUACAAAUUGGAACAUGGGCUAGCUAAAUCAAGCUCCCAUGACCUUAAAUCUAUAAAAAUGGCAAGAAAAGGACCAAAAUUACCUUAAUAAUAGUUGGUCAAAUACUUCAAGCUCUAAAAAUGGAGUUUCCCUAUUUUUUGUCUCUUUUGGACGGGUGAAGAAGAUGACAAGAUCAUCUUUCUUUCCACCCAAAUGUUAUUUAUACUAAGAUUAUUAUUUAAUUAAUCUUAGUUAAUUAGGUUUAAUUAUAAUAAUCUAAUUAUUAAUCAUUUAUCAUUGAGAUAAUUGCUAUUUAGGCCCUCAAGCUUUUUUCUAAUUAAAAAUCUAUAGUAAUUGAACUUCUACAAUUUUAGAGUGCCAAGUUUGCCAAAAGGUCCCAAAUACAAACCUCUAUUUAUAGGCCUUGAAAAAAGAAGUUAAAAAGGAAAAUGAUUAAGAAAAGAAAAGUGGGCAUGAACAUGCUAAAUUGAAGGGUAGUGGGAUUAAAAGGGGUUACCUGAACAUGGAAAUAUGGGAAAAUGGAGAGUAACAUGGUAUAAUGAUGGUUAUACGAAAGUUACACCCACUUAAAGUAUUUUAGCAAGAAAGACUUUAAAGUGCAAGUGCAUUGUUUGUUCAUUAAAGAAAUAAAGAGGAAACCUUAUCUUCCAAAGUACAUCUUUUGUAUAUGAGCCUCUAAGCCAUGCUCUACAUAACAUCCCAAAAGUAGAACAACCAC